rnacentral:rRNA from 1 species
CAUGCAAGUCGAACGAGAUUUUAGGUAGGAGCUAACCUACCCUUAGGAGAGGGAUACCAACUGGAAACGGUUGUUAAUACCUCGUAUGCUGAGGAGUGAAACGGCUUUAAGCCGCCUAGGGAUGGGCUUGCGUCUGAUUAGCUAGUUGGGGGAGUAAUGGCCUCCCAAGGCGAUGAUCAGUAGCUGGUCUGAGAGGACAAUCAGCCACACUGGGACUGAGACACGGCCCAGACUCCUACGGGAGGCAGCAGUGAGGAAUUUUCCGCAAUGGGCGAAGGCCUGACGGAGCAAUGCCGCGUGGAGGAUGACAGCCCAUGGGUCGUAAACUCCUUUUCUUAGAGAAGAAAUUUGGACGGUAUCUGAGGAAUAAGCAUCGGCUAACUCCGUGCCAGCAGCCGCGGUAAUACGGAGGAUGCAAGCGUUGUCCGGAAUCAUUGGGCGUAAAGGGUCCUGAGGUGGUUUGCUCAGUCCACUGUGAAAGUUCAGGGCUUACCCUUGAAAAUGCGGUGGAAACUAGUAGGCUAGAGUACGGUGGGGGCAGAGGGAAUUCCCGAUGUAGCGGUGAAAUGCAUAGAUAUCGGGAAGAACACCGAUGGCGAAGGCACUCUGCUGGGCCGACACUGACACUGAAAGACGAAAGCCAGGGGAGCGAAUGGGAUUAGAUACCCCAGUAGUCCUGGCCGUAAACGAUGGAUACUGA